GAGUUUGAUCAUGGCUCAGGAUGAACGCUGGCGGCGUGCCUAAUACAUGCAAGUCGAGCGAACGGACGAGAAGCUUGCUUCUCUGAUGUUAGCGGCGGACGGGUGAGUAACACGUGGGUAACCUACCUAUAAGACUGGGAUAACUCCGGGAAACCGGGGCUAAUACCGGAUAACACAUGAAACCGCAUGGUUUCAUGAUGAAAGACGGUCUUGCUGUCACUUAUAGAUGGAUCCGCGCUGCAUUAGCUAGUUGGUAAGGUAACGGCUUACCAAGGCAACGAUGCAUAGCCGACCUGAGAGGGUGAUCGGCCACACUGGAACUGAGACACGGUCCAGACUCCUACGGGAGGCAGCAGUAGGGAAUCUUCCGCAAUGGGCGAAAGCCUGACGGAGCAACGCCGCGUGAGUGAUGAAGGUCUUCGGAUCGUAAAACUCUGUUAUUAGGGAAGAACAUAUGUGUAAGUAACUGUGCACAUCUUGACGGUA
rnacentral:rRNA from 1 species